UACGUAGGGUGCAAGCGUUAAUCGGAAUUACUGGGCGUAAAGCGUGCGCAGGCGGUGAUGUAAGACAGGUGUGAAAUCCCCGGGCUUAACCUGGGAACUGCAUUGGUGACUGGCAGGCUUUGAGUGUGGCAGAGGGAGGUAGAAUUCCACGUGUAGCAGUGAAAUGCGUAGAGAUGUGGAGGAAUACCGAUGGCGAAGGCAGCCUCCUGGGCCAACACUGACGCUCAUGCACGAAAGCGUGGGGAGCGAACAGG
rnacentral:rRNA from 1 species